AACGCGAAGAACCUUACCAGGUCUUGACAUGCACUGGACCGGCGCUGAAAGGCGCUUUUCCCGCAAGGGACCGGUGCACAGGUGCUGCAUGGCUGUCGUCAGCUCGUGUCGUGAGAUGUUGCGUUAAGUCGCGCAACGAGCGCAACCCCUGUCCUUAGUUGCCAUCAUUAAGUUGGGCACUCUAGGGAGACAAACCCUCUUUGAGGGUGGGAAGGUGGGGAUGACGUCAAGUCAGGAUGGCCCUUACGACCUGGGCUGCACACGUGCUACAAUGCCCAGUACAGAGGGAAGCAAGACCGCGAGGUGGAGCAAAUCCUCAAAACUGGGCCCAGUUCAGAUUGUAGUCUGCAACUCGACUACAUGAAGUUGGAAUCGCUAGUAAUGGCGCAUCAGCUACGGCGCCGUGAAUACGUUCCCGGGCCUUGUA
rnacentral:rRNA from 1 species